rnacentral:RNase_MRP_RNA from 2 species
UCCAUGGCCAAAGAAUCGUCACAAGUCGAAGCUUGCACAAUGGAAUGGAGGUAUCUCUAUUCAUUAUUUGCUUUGGGAUGAAAGUCUCCGACCAGUCAGCUUGCGGAAAACGCAAUGAGAUUUAAAAAUUUUAAAAUGUUUAAAUCAACUCAUUAAGUGGAUUGGGUUUGCCUAGUCUGCUUUUCCACCUGGGUCGACUUAGUCGGUCCAGUGUUCUUCGGUAGGGGAGACCCAUUGGUUUCCAAACCAUAGUUAUGACGAUUGCUCAUUGUCUCGGCAUUGAGUAACCCAAUGGAGCUUACUUUCUUGGCCCAUGG